AUGGGGCUGUCACUCAAUAUAGACAUAUCUGCAACAUCCUUCUUCAAGCCUGUGACAGUGGUCCAGUUUGUGCUAGAGUUCCUCAACUUACGUGAUGCCUCACGGCCUCUGACAGACAGGGACCGUGUUAAGAUAAAGAAAGCACUCCGUGGGGUGCGUGUCGAAACAAACCACCAGGAAGACCAAAUCAGAAGAUACAAGAUAACAGGGAUUAUUCCUGUUCCCAUGAGCCAGCUCAUAUUUCCUGUUGAUGAGAGAGGAACAAGAAUGUCAGUUGUUCAGUACUUCAUGCAAAGAUACAACUACAAUCUGCAGUAUACUUCUUGGCCCUGCUUGCAGUCUGGAAGUGAUGCUCGGCCUGUGUAUCUGCCUAUGGAGGCGUGCAAGAUUGUUGAAGGGCAAAGGUACUCUAAGAAACUGAAUGACAAGCAGGUCACCAACAUACUUAGAGCUACCCGUCAACGUCCCCAGCAGAGGGAGCAAAGCAUUCGUGAGAUGGUUCUGCAUAACAAGUAUGCUCAGGAGUUUGGAAUCAAUGUCUGCAGUGACCUGGUCUCUGUUCCAGCCCGUGUGCUGCCUCCCCCCAUGUUGAGAUAUCAUGAUUCUGGAAAGGAGAAAACUUGUGCGCCAAGUGUUGGACAGUGGAACAUGAUUAACAAGAAAAUGAUCAAUGGAGGAAUCAUAGACAACUGGGCCUGUGUGAGUUUUUCACGCAUGCCUCCUGAGGAGGUACACAGGUUCUGUUGUGAUCUGAUUCAGAUGUGCAAUAUGACUGGAAUGUCUGUCAAUCCAAGGCCACUUGUAGACAACCGAUCAGCUAACCCCAACCACAUCGAGAAUGCCUUGAGGGAUGUCUACAGGAGGACUACCGAAAUGCUUGGAAAACAGGGACACGAAAAACAGCUACAACUGUUAAUCGUAAUCCUACCUGAAGUCAGUGGUUCUUAUGGGAAAAUCAAGAAGGUUUGCGAGACCGACCUUGGGAUCGUGUCUCAGUGUUGCCUGCCAAGGCAUGCUGCCAGACCGAACAAGCAAUAUCUGGAGAAUGUUGCACUCAAAAUCAAUGUGAAGGUCGGAGGACGCAACACAGUUCUGGAGAGAGCUUUUGUGCGAAAUGGCAUACCGUUUGUGUCCGAAGUCCCAACAAUCAUCUUUGGUGCUGAUGUUACACACCCCCCACCUGGAGAGGACUCUGCAUCAUCUAUUGCUGCGGUGGUGGCAUCAAUGGACUGGCCAGAGAUCACCAAGUACAGAGGUCUUGUCUCUGCUCAACCACACAGGCAGGAGAUAAUCGAAGACCUCUUCAGUGUCACCAAAGAUCCGAAGAGGGGUAAUGUCAAUGGUGGCAUGAUCAGGGAGUUACUGAUUGCAUUCCGCAGGAAGACAGGCCGGAGGCCUGAGAGGAUACUCUUCUACAGGGAUGGCGUAAGUGAAGGCCAAUUCAGCCAUGUUCCGCGUCAUGAAAUGGACGCAAUCAGGAAGGCCUGCGCCUCAUUGGAGGAGGGGUAUAUGCCCCCAGUCACCUUUGUGGUUGUCCAGAAAAGGGAUCACACCAGGCUGUUCCCUGAUGUUCAUGGGAGGCGUGAUAUGACUGACAAGAGUGGGAACAUACUUCCUGGAAGUGUGUUUGAACUCAUGACCUGCCACCCAACAGACUUUGGCUUUUACCUGUGCAACAAUACCAACAUACAGGGAACAAGUUGUAAUUACCAUGUUCUUUAUGAUGAGAACAAUUUCACGGCUGAUGCGCUUCAAUCCCUGACGAAGAAGCUCUGUAAUACCUAUGCUCGGUGCGUUCCAGGACUCUCCACAGUGGCACCGGCUUUUUAUGCUCAUGUAAAAGCUAGAGUCUGUACUCGCCACUACAUUGAAGGGGACGGCUCAACUGGGGAACUAAAUAUUAAACUUCUUGGUGGUGGUGACAAUCCGGAUACUGGAAGGCCUCGUAAAAGGCAUCGUAAGGAAGAAUCGGGUUCUUCAUCUCAAUCGGCCGAUCACCCAACUCUGGGAGGCAACAGAAUAUCCAACAUAAGUAAUGCCGGUCGCGUCCCUUUUGUGGACUAUGUUAAAGCACAUCGCGGUAGUUUCAUCGUCAAAGUGAGAGUUCAGGACUGUACCUCUACAGUUGUAGGUAGAAAGGAAUAUAGAUAUGAUUUUGACGACAUCGGUAGGGUACUCGGUAGUAGUUUUCUUAUAGCUUACUUUGACACACACAAAGAGAACUUGACGUGGGGUGGAGAAUUGAUGUUUGAAGAUAUUGAAGUAAGCUAUGGUCGAAUCGUGGUGAAUAGAAAGCCAAGAGUGGCUACGAGUCAAGAUGAUUUUGACAAGGAUAUCCAUGUCCUCGUAUUAAUGUUGAGAGCUACAUUCCUUCCAAAGGGGAAGAAUUUACCAUACUUUGAAGGCUUUCUUACAUUUAUCGAGAAGAGCAAAUUUAGAAAUCAUCCAGAACUGCUACCGUACAAGCGGCGCCCCUUGGUUUUUAUGUCCCCACUAGAAAGAGCUGCUGCUUUGGAUAAUCUUUUGAAGAUUUAUUUCCGGCUCAAUGUUACUGAGCAGGAGAAUUUCCGGUCAACAUUGACCAACUUCGAUUGCCCCAAGUGGCCUGAUGCAAAAAGUUAUUGCAUUUUUGAACCUUUGGUUACUUAUCAAGUGAACAAGCAUGACGUCGAUACAUACCUAGACGAGGAAUUUUAUUGUUUACUCAUUUUGCGAAACCAUAAUGAGCACGGCAAAGUGUUGCCAUGGGAAUUGCUUGAUUAUGCCUCAGUUGCGUGCUUCGGAGAUUUUGUUCAGGAUUCUUUCUUGGGUCUUAUGCUAAAGGGCUAUGAAGUUCAUAAAGCCCUUGCUUAA
rnacentral:rRNA from 1 species